UGUGUGUGUGUGUGUGUGUGUGUGUGUGUGCCCGCGUGUGCGUGCGCCGCCCCGGGGCUGCCACUCACGAGCUGCUUAUUUAGGUCAAUUAGGGAGCAAAUCCCGGAGCGCGGGGGAGCGGCAGGGCCGGCCCUGGCGCACGGGGAACAGCCGGGGGGAGGCUUGGCCACCUCAUGUCUUUGCCUUGCCAUUGGAUGCAGCGGGCUCGGAGGGCAGCUCACGCAGCCAAUCGGCUCUGCAGGCACCGCGGUUAUAUUAAUAUCAUUAAUAAUAAUUAGCCCCCCUCCUCCCCCCCCUCCCCCCCUUCGGAGUGCGGCGGCCGCUGAGCUUUCAUGUCUGCGGCGGCGGGGAUGGAUGGAUGGAUGGAUGGAUGGAUGGAUGGACGGACGGACGGACGGACGGACGAGAUGCGGCCCUGCAGCCACCGCCGUGGGCUCCCGGCGGAGCGGGCAGGAUCCCCCUGUCCUGGACCCCCAUACGGAGCACUGGGAUGGGGGAGCACCCAGGGAGCGUCUGCCCCCAGGGUGCCCAAGUGGCCAAGAGGCCGGCGGCAUUGGAGGGCGGGCGGCCUUCGUCUCCCGAGGCCGCCUUGCUCUUCAUAGCACGGGCGCGCCCACUGCCAGCUCCCGAGCCCAUCGCUCCCGGCGUUCUCUCUCCGCACUUCGAUUUUGUGAUUCUUGCUGCUAUUGUAAUCCCAUUUCAUGGGAAGCCGUAAAGCCACCCCCUGCCUGUUCCCUUCUGCCGAGCCUUCCGGAUGUGCCCCGCUCGGGACAGGGACCCCCAGCAUCCCCGCAGAGCUCCAGGGCAGGACAGUGACUCGCUGCCUUUUUCCUGGAGACCAAGUGGGACAAGUCUGUCGAUCCGAAAUGCACGUCGGAGACCGGGAAGGUUUGGGUGAGUAUACAAAUGCCCUGAAAACUACUUAUUCAACUCACUGCUCUCUGCUUCUGGGAGUACUGCUUGAGCGGGUUAAAGGCACGACUCAGAGGCGAUGCUCACCAGCUCCCCGGCUCCACUCUACCUCCUCCGGCGGGAUUUCCCUCCUUGUUCCCCUUUGCAGUACCCCUGAGCACCCCUUCCCGUGUUCGAUUUAGGGAGCGGAGCAGUCGGGCACUGCCCGCUGCCACCUGGCCGCCGCAGCGACGAGACGGGGAGCAGCCAGAGCCGGCCCGGGGGGGAACCGGGUGUCGGGGCUGUCUAGGGAGGUGGAGAAAGGGGCAAAGUGGGGAACGGGGGAGAGAAAGAGAGGAAAGAAAGAAAGAAAGAGAGAGAGAGAGAAAUGGGGGAAAAAGAGAAAGAGAGAGAGAAAGAGAAAGAGAAAGAAAGAAAGAAAGAAAGAAAGAAAGAAAGUGAGAGAAAGGAGAAAAAACUUUCAAUUUCCAAAAACUCAAAAAAAAAAAAAAAGCAAUCAGAGCUCUGAAGUGAACUCUGGAAAAGCAGGAAUGUACAGGGACAUGUUCGGGUUUCAGUACUACCUGAGCAGAGACCAAUGACUGGCAAACUGUAAACCAGGCAAAAGUACAUUUAUCACUUGUUGCACAGGAGUGAUGCUAGCGAACAUUACUUUUAUGCUUUGUCCAUCGUGGUGCGUUUUACUAGAUAGGAAAUAUGAGUCUGACCAAUAUGUCUUACGCAUCUAUAAACCGUCUGCUCUGUUUCACUGGCAGACUCAGAAAAUAUAUGUGUGCUUUCCGGAAUAAAAAGAAGAAUGUGGACCCCGGUUACUUCUAU
rnacentral:lncRNA from 1 species